UCACUCCGCCACAAGGGCCGCAUUUCUGCUCCAUCAAAGGGGGUUAUUCUUCCUGCACUGGAGAUUUGUCUUGCGAAAUCCCGUGCUGUAGGCAGAUUGAAACGGAAACAGGUGAAAAUUUCUGCGAAUUGAGGAACUGAAAGUAGAGAACUAUUUUCUGUCAUCACCCCACCAGUUUGCGCGGAGUAAGCCGGCGGAGUGAGGCGGCAGGGCAGGAGAAAGUGGCCUCGGCGCCUCCAAGGGUCUGGUCCUCUAGCUCCUGAAGACGCGACAGAGUCACAGACUCCAAUGUCUUAAGGAUGAUUAUGAUGGCGAACACGGGGGAUCCGCUGAACUUCCCCAUCAGCACACACACCCAGGACAAGGUCACCCGUGCCAAGGUCACACUGGAGAACUUCUACCACAACCUGGAAAUUCAGCAUGAGGAACGGGAGAGCAGG